rnacentral:rRNA from 1 species
UGGGGAAUAUUGGACAAUGGGCGCAAGCCUGAUCCAGCAAUGCCGCGUGUGUGAAGAAGGCCUUCGGGUUGUAAAGCACUUUUAUCAGGAGCGAAACGCUGUCGGCUAAUACCCGGCGGAACUGACGGUACCUGAGGAAUAAGCACCGGCUAACUUCGUGCCAGCAGCCGCGGUAAUACGAAGGGUGCAAGCGUUAAUCGGAAUUACUGGGCGUAAAGCGUGCGUAGGCGGUUUCUUAAGUCUGCUGUGAAAUCCCCGGGCUCAACCUGGGAAUGGCAGUGGAUACUGGGAGGCUAGAGUGUGUCAGAGGGUGGUGGAAUUCCCGGUGUAGCGGUGAAAUGCGUAGAGAUCGGGAGGAACAUCAGUGGCGAAGGCGGCCACCUGGGACAACACUGACGCUGAGGCACGAAAGCGUGGGGAGCAAACAGGAUUAGAUACCCUGGUAGUCCACGCCCUAAACGAUGCGAACUGGAUGUUGGUCUCAACUCGGAGAUCAGUGUCGAAGCUAACGCGUUAAGUUCGCCGCCUGGGGAGUACGGUCGCAAGACUGAAACUCAAAUGAAUUGACGGGGUCAAGCUGUUUCCUG